GCGCUUCCUAUACUGAAGUCUGAAUGGAUUAGCUACAUCAUCUCUUUUAUAUUGUAAAUGUAUGCUACUAUCAUUGUAAAAGCCAGUCUAUCGACUGACGCAGCUAGUUCAACUGUGUGGCGUUACACACACAAAAGUAAACGCGUGGAUAUCCAACAAUUGUGCUGAUUUUCAUUUGACAUUCAUUCCAUUUAAGACGAUCAACGGCGAGUUGUGGUCUGAUGAAGAAACAUUAUUUAACUCGUGUGGCGCUCUUCGGGAACAUGUAAAUGUGGUGGCACACGUGGUACCACCAUUAAAGAUUCGUAGUUCUUUUCUUAAAGAUUCGGAGUUCGAAACAGCGUUGAUUGAAUAACUAUUCGAGGAGAGAUGUAGUCAGGACUCCAACCUGGCGGCAGCAGUGCCAAAGGUAGCGCUCGGGCAGCGUGUGGCGUGUGACGCGUGACGCGGCAUACACACACUUAUCUAAAUACUUAGUAUAUAUAUGUAUGUAUAGUAGCGGCGCGAGCAUCGUACAGGAACAAAUAACAUAAGCCAAACACAUCGGCGUCAGCGCCGAGCACUGCGUCACUCCCUAAAUAUUGUUUAAUGUAAGUCCUGAUUAUUGAGUUAUUAUAACAAAUCUAUUUACAAACAGCACGUAAAUAGGUUUCUUUAGGAGCCUUGAAUGAAUCUUGUUUAAAAGUCAUUAAGUAUAUCUACUGAAGAUUAAAAGAUACUGAGUAUACGAGUAUUCGCAAGUUACUUACACAUGUGAGACAUCGGCCGGGUUCAGGGGCCAAGUCUCACAUCACUUGAAGUUACCCAUGUAAUGGUUACUGUGGAUGGACAAUGUGGCCGCUACUGUUAUUGUCGAGUCCUCAGUUCGAUCACCUUCGAUUCGAGGAAAUGUUCAAAAUUCUCUAUUGCAUAAAAACUAACUUGUGCUGAGACACUUAGAGCUUCUUAUAAGUCGAGGUACAUUGUUUUAUUGAAUUUAUUUAUUUCUGUUUUAUGGUAUAAGGCGGCAAACGAGUAAAUGGAUCAUCUGAUGGUAAGCAACCUUAGGUAGGUCCGUUAUAUAGCUCUUUCAAGAUAUCUUUUUUCGACAUAGAAUGUAUUCGCAUAAGUAUCUUAAGCCAUUUACAAGAGUGAAAUCCCAUACAUAAGUUGUGGCGAAAUACUACAGCGCGUAGCUCGUUACACGUAGCACUUAUUACUUAACUCGUAGCGCGUAGUACGUAGCUCGUAGGGCGUAGUACGUAGUUCGUAGCGCGUAUACGUAGCUCGUAGGGCGUAGUACGUGGUUCGUAGCGCGUAGUACGUAGCUCGUAGUGCGUAUUACGUAGCCCUCAGAUCGCAGCUCAUAAUACGUAGUGUUUCGGUACACGUUACGGCCUACAGAAUACGACUCUAGUAUUUCGCGAAUAUAUAAAAAGAAGAUUUAGAUAUCAAUUUACAUAUUUUGUGAUCGGAACGCAGGUAGGGUUAGAAAUUGUCCUUUAUUUAAGAUUUGAUUACUUUUUGACCAUGUGGCUAUAUGGUAUCGUGGCAACAUUUUACACAUGAAUACGUUUGUGUGGGAUUAUUGUUUCAAUGUCUAGGCGAGACGAGUGCACGCACGUAUACAAUCCAGCGCGUGUUUGUGUGCAAGCAGGGACUGCUGGCUGUUUGUAGGAUCACUCAUCUGUUUGAUAUAGGACUAGGAGAGCUUGUAGCACUGUCUGUUGAUCCAAGUCAUAUAGUGUUGUGCAAUUUUUAGUUUUCCUCCUUUCUCAAAUCUGGUUUUACU